UACGUAGGGGCCGAGCGUUGUCCGGAGUUACUGGGCGUAAAGCGCGCGCAGGCGGCGCAUCGCGCCCGGCGUGAAAGCCCCCGGCUCAACCGGGGAGGGUCGUCGGGGACGGGUGCGCUUGAGGACGGCAGGGGCAGGUGGAAUUCCCGGUGUAGUGGUGAAAUGACGUAGAGAUCGGGAGGAACACCCGUGGUGAAGGCGGCCUGCUGGGCCGAUCCUGACGCUGAGGCGCGAAGGCGUGGGGAGCGAACGGG
rnacentral:rRNA from 1 species